rnacentral:rRNA from 1 species
AGUGAACGCUGGCGGUAGGCCUAACACAUGCAAGUCGAACGGCAGCACAGUAAGAGCCUGCUCUUACGGGUGGCGAGUGGCGGACGGGUGAGGAAUACAUCGGAAUCUACUUUUUCGUGGGGGAUAACGUAGGGAAACUUACGCUAAUACCGCAUACGACCUACGGGUGAAAGCAGGGGAUCUUCGGACCUUGCGCGAUUGAAUGAGCCGAUGUCGGAUUAGCUAGUUGGCGGGGUAAUGGCCCACCAAGGCGACGAUCCGUAGCUGGUCUGAGAGGAUGGUAGGCCACACUGGAACGGGGACACGGUCCAGACUCCUACGGGAGGCAGCAGUGGGGAAUAUUGGACAAUGGGCGCAAGCCUGAUCCAGCCAUACCGCGUGGGUGAAGAAGGCCUUCGGGUUGUAAAGCCCUUUUGUUGGGAAAGAAAAGCAGCAGGUUAAUACCCCGCUGUUCUGACGGUACCCAAAGAAUAAGCACCGGCUAACUUCGUG